UACGUAGGGGUGCGAGCGUUGUCCGGAAUUAUUGGGCGUAAAGAGCUCGUAGGCGGUCUGUCGCGUCGGCUGUGAAAUCCCGAGGCUCAACCUCGGGUCUGCAGUCGAUACGGGCAAACUAGAGUAUUGCAGGGGAGACUGGAAUUCCUGGUGUAGCGGUGAAAUGCGCAGAUAUCAGGAGGAACACCGGUGGCGAAGGCGGGUCUCUGGGCAAUAACUGACGCUGAGGAGCGAAAGCGUGGGGAGCGAACAGG
rnacentral:rRNA from 1 species